CUGAUGGCAAUUGCUCCCUCUGCAGGAAGACUUAAACUUUUCUCUUUGUUAAAAACUACCAUCUUCAGACCUUCCUAGCUAAGGACUCCAGGGUUCAUUUCUUGUUGGGAUAGAGAAAAGAAUAGAUUCACUGUCUUCCAUAGUGAACUCUCUGUAGAGCAAAAGUCACGUUUGUAGAGCUGCAUGGCUCCCCAUGAGCUUAGACCUCUCUGACUAUUGAGUUUCCCCAGAAAAUAUACUGGUGGCCUUUGCAGACUAGGAAGGAUGCCAUUUGCCUAGUUGGACCGGGGUGCCCUCAACAACCAUUGUGACAUCAAAGGGCAAGCACUGUAGCCUGGAGUGUCCCAGUUCUUACCGUGAGAUGUGAGCCCUCCUCAGCAUAAAUGGGUGCCAGUUCCUAAGAAAUGUGGCUGUUUUAAUUAGCUGCCCUCCUCCCCUUCUUCCUUCUAAUCUCUCCCAGGCGCCAGAAAUGGGGCCUGUGUUCCCAAGGCACCAGGAAGGGUGGAAGCACAGAGCUGGAACUUGAGACACUGGACGUUCCUGGCUCCAGGAGCUAACUCCUGAUGUACGUCUGGGUUACGGUGGAAUUCGUCUUGCAAUAAUCCUGAGGCUCUACACUUUAUUAAUCAUUCUGUAGGGAAAGCUGCUCUCCGGUUCUGUUUGAUUUGAUUUCAUUCAUCCUGUCUUUUUGCAAAAUAGAUGGUUGA